AGCUGGUGGAGGAGAGAGUUGGAGAUUGUUGGGUGUGAUGUGAAGAAGGAGUCAGCACUAUGAGGAGCUGGCCAUGAGAAAUCACCAAGAAGGUAGAGUCCAGAGAUGAGUGAACUGCAUGGUGGCUAAUAUAGUUAGUUAAUUUGGCAGACUGAUAUAUCACUGCAUUUACUGAAGAGGAUCUUAAAGUGAGAUUUUUCAGAGAAAUCCGCAAAUGGAAUAUGAAAAGCAGCCUGUCCUAAUGAAGCUCUUCAUAGCAACAGACAUAAAUGCGCCAUCUGGUGUCAACAGUGGUUUUUCAAUUAUUUGCCUCAGUGAUACAGUGGUAGAGGCAAUACUUUCUUGGUACUGUUAUAACAGUACCAAGGGGAAGUGGGGCAGAGACAGCACGCACCAGAGGAUUCUCAUGUGACAGCAGCAAUCUUUAUUGUUCCAGCCUAAUUUAUAUAGAAGGUUUGAAACACCCUGGUCUAAACCACUGAUUGGUCUGAUCUCCUCACAGUCCAGGUUCCUGGCCAGUGAGAUGUCUGCAGCUUAGGCAAGAACAAGUGGGUGAGGUCCUUGUGUAGAUUUGAAUUCAACCUGGAUUUGAAUCCCGACCUCGUCUGAGGACCUGUUUUACCUCUAGACUGGCCGAGGUUGGAGGUCUAAUAGAGAGUUACUGACUGAUAAGUACAGACACAACCAAAUUUAUUUGGCAGCUACAAGCUAGCUGCAAUCGUGACAGGUACUAGGAGGAAGACACUGGAGUUCAAUUCCAUAAAGCAUCUAGGUAUCAAAUUCCUAGCCCCAAAGCUUUCUUUGCUUAGAUCUUCAACACUUAAGACCAGCUAAGGGGGUCCCAGUGCCCUGAGUUGGAGGACCAUUACUGUGAAAAAGAUAAGCACACUUAGGCCCUGUGCAGGAUCUGCUGUUCCAGCUGGAUCCCUCUAAGUCCAUGGGGGCUCAUGGGACUCAUCUGAGAACACCGAAACUUCUGGCCAGUGUCAUUGCAAGGUCUUUCUCAAUGAUUUUUGAAUAAUCUUGGACUCUAGAGAGAUGCCAGUUGACUGACAGCUGGCGGAUGUUGUCCCAGUUUCCAAGAAGGGCGAGAAGGACCAUUCUGGAAACAACAGGCCUGUCAGUCUCACUUCAGUGCUUGGUAAAAUUAUGGAGAAGAUUAUUCUUCUGGGAUUCAUUAGAAAACACCUGAAGGACAAGCGAGUAUUGAUCAGAGCCAGCACAGCUUCAUGAAAGGAAAGUCCUGCUUGUCAAAUCUAUUUCCUUUUAUGACAAAGUAACAUAUCUAGCUAAUCAAGGAGAGCCAGAACAAGUAAUCUUUUAGGAUUUCAGUAAAGCUUUCAAUACUUUCGCAGUAUCCUCCAGGAAGAACAUGUCCUGGGCACAUCACAAUAAAUGCCUCGUGAAAUGGGUGAGCAACUGGCUCAUGGGUUGGGCACAGGGGAUUUCAGUGAAUGGGGUGACAGCAGACUGGUGACCUGUCACUAUUGGGGUUCCAAAGGGCUCCACCCUUGGCUCUGUGCUCUUUAACAUCUUCAAAAAUGAUUUGGAUGCAGGACUUGAGAGGAUACUGAGUUUGAGUUUGCCAAUGACUCCGAACUGAGAGGAGCUGUCUGACUCUCAAAGGCAGAAAGGCCCUGCAGAGACACCUUCAUAAAUUCAAGGGCUGAGCAAACCUCAAUGACGUAUUGUUUAGAAAAGAGAGUGCCAGAUUCUGUAUCACUGAUGGGGCAACCCUGGAUGUAUGGACAGACUGGGGAUGAGAGGCUAGAAAGUAGGGCUGUGGAAAGGGACCUGGGGGUCCUGGUUUAUGGCAAAUUGAACAUGGGUCAGCACUGCAGCCAAGAGGGCCAACCCUGCCCUGGGGGAUAUCAGGCAGCCAGGUAAGGGGGGAGGGGAUUGUCCUGCUCUGCUUUGAGCUGGGGCAGCCUCACCUCCAGUGCUGGGGGCUGGUAUGGGCAAUAUAAGAAGACAUUAAAUUACUAGAGUAUGUCCAAAGGAGGGCAAUGAGGAUGGUGAAGGGCCUUGAGGGGAAGUCAUAUGAGGAGUGGUGGAGAUCACUUGGUCUCUUCAGCUUGGAGAAGA